rnacentral:rRNA from 1 species
CAGUCGCCGCGGGAAAACGGAGGGUGCAAGCGUUAAUCGGAAUUACUGGGCGUAAAGCGUGCGUAGGCGGUUCGUUAAGUCUGUUGUGAAAGCCCCGGGCUCAACCUGGGAAUGGCAAUGGAUACUGGCGAGCUAGAGUGUGUCAGAGGAUGGUGGGAUUCCCGGUGUAGCGGUGAAAUGCGUAGAGAUCGGGAGGAACAUCAGUGGCGAAGGCGGCCAUCUGGGACAACACUGACGCUGAGGCACGAAAGCGUGGGGAGCAAACAGGAUUAGAUACCCCCGUAGUCCCUGUCUCUUAUAC